rnacentral:lncRNA from 1 species
AAAGAAAAGCCAAAUUAUUGAUCAUGGAGGCCGGACACAUGAAGAGCCGUUCACAUGCAACAAGAUGCGUUUUGCAAAAUUAACUAAUUAAGAGGCCACUGAUAGCAACCCAGCCGAAUUUGGGUCCACAAUGCUCGUUUGGAUCAUUAUAUUGGGGCUCAAGAGGCGACUCUGGUCUCCUCCUGAAGCGCGUCACAUGUUUUCUAGAGAGUAUUGGGCACUCAAACAACAAUUAAAUGGACGAAAGAGCAGUGUAUGUUCAACCAAAUCCCCCAUUGCUUAUCAUGCUCUG